AGGCGGGAAUCACUAUGGUGACGUCACUACCUUCUCGUGCGACCCUGGGUACGAGCUGAGCGUGAGCGGCAGUAGGACGUGUCAGGCCGACCAGACCUGGAGCGGUACCGAACCCACCUGUACAGCGGUGACAUGUCCCGAUCUGGACGCGCCCCUGAACGGGAACAAAGUGGGCGGCAGCUCGUACGGCGACAUCGUCACCUUCUCCUGCUCGGCUGGGUACCAGCUCACGGGAAGCUCUACACUUACAUGUCAGCACAACCAACAGUGGAACGGCACACAGCCCUCCUGUACAAGAAAGGUAUGUCCGGUCCUGCCAGUGUUAGACCACGGUGUGUCAACAGGAGGACAUCUGUAUGGAGACAUCAUCACGUUCUCCUGUCUGCCUGGAUUCCAACUCCAUGGGAACCAGACCAGGCUGUGCAGGGCCGACCAGACAUGGAGUGGGACACAGCCCCGCUGU